AGUUCGAUCCUGGCUCAGGAUGAACGCUAGCGACAGGCUUAACACAUGCAAGUCGAGGGGCAUCGGGGGGUAGUGAUACUCUGCCGGCGACCGGCGCACGGGUGCGUAACGCGUAUGCAACCUGCCCAUAAGAGGGGGAUAACCCGGCGAAAGUCGGCCUAAUACUCCAUAACGCAGAGGUUCCGCCUGGGACUUCAAGCUAAAGGUUUAUUCCGCUUAUGGAUGGGCAUGCGUUCCAUUAGGUAGUUGGUAGGGGUAACGGCCCACCAAGCCAUCGAUGGAUAGGGGUUCUGAGAGGAAGGUCCCCCACACUGGUACUGAGAGACGGACCAGACUCCUACGGGAGGCAGCAGUGAGGAAUAUUGGUCAAUGGCCGCAAGGCUGAACCAGCCAAGUCGCGUGAAGGAAGAAGGAUCUAUGGUUCGUAAACUUCUUUUAAUUGGGAAUAGUGUGCGCUACGUGUAGCGUAAGAGAAAGUACCAAAAGAAUAAGCAUCGGCUAACUCCGUGCCAGCAGCCGCGGUAAUACGGAGGAUGCGAGCGUUAUCCGGAUUUAUUGGGUUUAAAGGGUGCGUAGGUGGGGAUUUAAGUCAGCGGUGAAAGUUUGUUGCUUAACGAUAAAAUUGCCGUUGAGACUGGAUUUCUUGAGUAUGAUUGAAGCAGGCGGAAUGCGUGGUGUAGCGGUGAAAUGCAUAGAUAUCACGCCGAGCUCCGAUUGCGAAGGCAGCUUGCUAAGCCAUAAUUGACACUGAGGCACGAAAGCGUGGGUAUCAAACAGGAUUAGAUACCCUGGUAGUCCACGCGGUAAACGAUGAUAACUAAGAGUUUGCGAUAUACAGUAAGUUCUACAGCGAAAGCGUUAAGUUAUCCACCUGGGGAGUACGCCGGCAACGGUGAAACUCAAAGGAAUUGACGGGGGCCCGCACAAGCGGAGGAACAUGUGGUUUAAUUCGAUGAUACGCGAGGAACCUUACCCGGGUUUGAACGUAGCCUGCCUGUUGGUGAAAGCCAACGUUCAGCGAUGACAGGUUACGAGGUGCUGCAUGGUUGUCGUCAGCUCGUGCCGUGAGGUGUCGGCUUAAGUGCCAUAACGAGCGCAACCCUUACCGUUAGUUACCAUCAAGUGAAGUUGGGGACUCUGGCGGGACUGCCGGCGUAAGCUGCGAGGAAGGCGGGGAUGACGUCAAAUCAGCACGGCCCUUACAUCCGGGGCGACACACGUGUUACAAUGGUGGGGACAGAGGGCAGCGACCUGGUGACAGCGAGCCAAUCCGCCAAACCCCAUCUCAGUUCGGAUCGAAGUCUGCAACCCGACUUCGUGAAGCUGGAUUCGCUAGUAAUCGCGCAUCAGCCAUGGCGCGGUGAAUACGUUCCCGGGCCUUGUACACACCGCCCGUC
rnacentral:rRNA from 1 species